AUACAAAUUUCAAGGCUGUGGAACCAGGAGAAGGUCUGAGGAACGGAGCUCCCGGAAGUAAAGGCAUUGCCUCACAUUUGAGUACACCUGGCAACAGUACUUAAGGAAGGAAAGGUUUGCACUGGCCCGCAGUCUGAAGGAGGACAGAGGACACAAGGCAAUGAGAGCAGCUCUAGGUGUAGCCGUGGGAGCCCGAUAUAGCUGGACGCGCUGCAUCUGAAGCAUGACUUCAGGAUUUGUGGUCAGAAGCACGAGGUGGAGAAGUCCUGAUACAAUCUUUGUACUGUACGGUUGCCGUCUGGACUUCAUUGACUAUCCCGGAGCGAUCCAGCACAAGUGACAAGUGAAGACCUUGGCUGUGUUUCAGAAGCACAAUUACAACUCUUGGGGUAAAGAGCCUCAGCGACAAGGCCCAGGAAAGCAGGUGUAUUGAGAAUUAGAGGUUGGAAGGGCCUUGAGAGCAGAGGUCUGUUGUUUAACAUCAUCUUCGAGUGUACCCUAGCACGGCGGUCUCGGCUGGAGAGAUUUUCUGUGUGCUGAACUUAGAUGGAUAUGUCAAAGUGUACUCAAGCUUUCUUGAACUUUUUCCCCAUCUGAAAUCACUAAAAAUGUGCAGUAUUUCAAAAAGCCCAAGUUUGCCUCCAAAUAUGCUUGUGAAAUGUAUUUCAACACACAUAUCCAACAGUAAGAACAUGCUGGCCAUAUCAAUCCUCACAGCAACUCUUUAUUGCAGCAUAUUGAGGUUUAAUCAGGAAACAGGUUAGAGCUUCUAUGUACAGGUUUUCUUCUAGUUUGAGGUUUUCCUGAAAUAUGUGACACAGACUCGUUAUACAAAUGGCCACUAGUAAAUUAUUUCCAGCAUGUGUUACUCUGUCAACAGUGAUGCUUUCACAGAACCUUUGUCCUCCACAAUUCCCCCCCUCCAUUUAAACCAGGACAUUUCCAUCUCAGUGAGCCACUGCUGUAUUUGGGACCUAAGCGAGAAGCUGGAUAAACAGAGGCGCUAUUAUUAUUGUUACUGUCAAUAUAGUUUCCUUCCCUAGUUAUAACUGAUUAUUUCCUUUUUUCCAUUUCAAAACAUUUUUGUUCAAAUGCUUCUGAUGGCUCUCGUCACAAGCAAUAUUCCUUCGGAAAUAAUGCACCUUUUUAAUUUCUCAACCUAAAAUACACAGCCCGUCAUCUCCAUAGUAGGAUGAUGCUGUUAGAGAGAUCAGCUGUGUCUAGUUGGAGAAUUUUUAGGGGAAUAAGGGAUUACAGGAGCGAGUGCUUCCUCUAUUAGUUCGUGCAAAGUGAAGACAAGAAAGAAAGUCUGUAGGAUGUAAGAGGUGAUGUUACUCCAGCAAGAGUUGGGCAUUUGGAAACACAUGGAGUUAAAAGCAGUUUUCACUUAAUGUGCUUUGUUGUUUCUGCUACAAUAAAAAUAAAUAAUAAAAAUUC
rnacentral:lncRNA from 1 species